AUGGCGACUGUGGCUCAGUAGGAAGAGUAGUUGUCCUGCAAUCAGAAGGUUGUAGGUUUGAUUCCUCCUGCCAUA